AUUGAACGCUGGCGGCAUGCCUUACACAUGCAAGUCGAACGGCAGCACGGGAGCAAUCCUGGUGGCGAGUGGCGAACGGGGGAGUAAUAUAUCGGAACGUGCCCAGUAGUGGGGGAUAACUGCUCGAAAGAGCAGCUAAUACCGCAUACGACCUGAGGGUGAAAGGGGGGGAUCGCAAGACCUCUCGCUAUUGGAGCGGCCGAUAUCAGAUUAGGUAGUUGGUGGGGUAAAGGCCUGCCAAGGCAACGAUCUGUAGUUGGUCUGAGAGGACGAGUGGCGAGUGUGGGACGGAGCCACCGCCCAGACUCCUACGGGAGGACGCGGUGGGGAAUUUUGGACAAUGGGCGCAAGCCUGAUCCAGCAAUGCCGCGUGCAGGAAGAAGGCCUUCGGGUUGUAAACUGCUUUUGUCAGGGAAGGAAUCCUCUAGGUUAAUACCCUUGGGGGGAUGACGGUACCUGAAGAAUAAGCACCGGCUAACUACGUGCCAGCCGCCGCCGUAACAC
rnacentral:rRNA from 1 species